rnacentral:rRNA from 1 species
CCUACGGGAGGCAGCAGUAGGGAAUAUUGCUCAAUGGGGGAAACCCUGAAGCAGCAACGCCGCGUGGAGGAUGAAGGUUUUCGGAUUGUAAACCCCUUUUGUUAGAGAAGAUAAUUACGGUAUCUAACGAAUAAGCACCGGCUAACUCCGUGCCAGCAGCCGCGGUAAUACGGAGGGUGCAAGCGUUACUCGGAAUCACUGGGCGUAAAGAGCGCGUAGGCGGGAUAGCGAGUCAGAUGUGAAAUCCUAUGGCUUAACCAUAGAAAAGCAUUUGAAACUGUUAUUCUAGAGUGUGGGAGAGGAAGGUGGAAUUCUUGGUGUAGGGGUAAAAUCCGUAGAGAUCAAGAGGAAUACUCAUGGCGAAGGCGACCUGCUAGAACAUAACUGACGCUGAUGCGCGAAAGCGUGGGGAGCAAACAGGAUUAGAUACCCCUGUAGUC